UUUUUAAAAAUAGACCAGCCAGCCCUGCGAGAGGUGCCGAGUAAAUGGGUGCUCAGGAGGGGAACAGAGCGGGCUGAAGAGACUCUGUUUAAACAGAAGGAGACUGCAUUUGAAUUGAGCACAUUGCUCACUGGCACAGAGAAUUCUCCAUUUCUUGCCUAAAUAGGUCUUCUCAGACUGUCCCUGUCCUAUAAACAGCAAAUUCAGGAGAGAAAGGACAGCAGUGCUCCUUGGCCAAACCAUGAUGUUGGGAAGUAAACCAACAUGUCCUGAGUCCGUAAGCUCUUGCAAUGUUUGAUUAUGCAAAGUUUAAUCUCUCCCCCAGGUUCCUGAGCUUACUGUUCCUCAGAAGGAACAGCAGGUCCUUUGGAAUCAGUACACUUGUCCCCACCUUCACCAGAUGUAAUAAUAAAACAUUACUAUGAAAACAGAAAAAUUCUCCCAAGCUACAAAAAAUAAAUAGAUAAAUAGAUAAAUAUUGUGCUGUCCUAGUACUAUGAGUGUUGUUGUUACCUGGCAGUUCUGACUGAGCUGUAGCACUCUCAUCUCGGAAAGCACUGAAGUAGAAUAAAUGAUAGAUCCACCUCCCAUACCAAAGGAGCCUACUGGUAGCAAGACUCAUCAGAUCCUUCAAGUUCCUACUGUCCCCAGAAGCGUCUCUGGAGGUUUUGUGUGGAAUUAGACCUAUCAAACUAUUAAGCUUAAGGGGUAGAUAGGCUUCAUAACCCCUGUAAAGUAAGCACAGACCAGCUACUCCUACCUGGAAGAUGGUUUCUGGAACAGGGCUCGAGAUGAAGGACACUGUGUAAAGGAGGAUCUUGAUGAAAAGAACUUGUUCUUACUCUGCUUCCAGAAUCAUCGUGCAUCUGUGGGGGAGCUGAA